UACAGAGACCUCAAGCGUUAUCCGGAAUCAUUGGGCGUAAAGCGUACCGAUAGGUGGUUAAGAAAGUCAGAUGUGAAAUCUCCGAGCUCAACUCGGAAUCUGUCAUUUGAAACUUCUUGACUAGAGGGGCAAAGAGGAAGCUGGAACGAACGGUGUAGUAGUGAAAUGCGUUGAUAUCGUUCGGAACACCAAUAGCGUAGGCAGGCUUCUGGGUGCCACCUGACACUGCUAGGACGAAAGCGUGGGGAGCGAAUGGG
rnacentral:rRNA from 1 species